GUGGCAACCAUGGAGGCACUAGCAGCCUUCUGAGGGCACCUGACUGCUGCACAGGGGAGGCCGCCCCCAAGGGAGCUGCUCUGGGUGGCUCCAGACCGUGCCCUCCAGCCCCCAGCCUGACACAGACCAACCUGCGCCUCAACCGUUUACAGAGCCUUUGGACUAGACCUCGGCGCCCUCAGUGCUUGUUACCACCCGCUGCAUGCUGACUCUAGUUGCACUACAGGAGACCUGACAUUGAUGAUCCAAUCUGGGAAGACUGAAGACCGCUGGCAAGGAACCCACCAGGAAUAUUUGUCUCUAAAGGCACAAUUCUGCGUGCUAGAUCUGGAACUUGUUUGGAGAGCAAAGAAUUCCUGCUCCAUACAAGCUGUUGGAUUCAAGAUGCUCUGGGCUGUGCAUUUCUGCUGUGUUUACAGGCAGCAAGAGGGGAUCUGAGAAGGAGCCCACCUUGUGCUUGUUCUCUCGGCAUCGGGCUGUCUGGAGGUCUGCGUUGGGCACCGGAGGUGGGGCCAGGCACAUGAGCUCACACAGGGCCUCCGGGAAGGACCACAGCCCGUCUUCCAUACAGCUGUGGAGCCCAGGGAGGCCAAGAGCUGCCACAAAGGAGAGGAGAUCCAACUGCAUGAGUGACUUGCAAUGUCUGCAGGGAAGUAAAAUUCAAGGCUCCUGACAACUGACUGCGUAAGAAAGACUUUUACGCUCCUUCCAUCUGACCCCCUUGCUUUGCCAGAUGGGCGUCCGAGUCCGGAGGUGAAAGCGCUUGCCCCCUAAUAAUGAACACAGUA